GAAAGGUCUGGUUCCUGGAAUCAAGCUAGAAAUGACUGCAGAGACAGAGGAGCAGAUCUGGUGGUUAUUGACUGCGCUAAAGAACAGAACUUUCUCACUACAAUCAUCAAAGAAAACACUUGGAUUGGUUUGACUGACAAUGGAAUGGAGGGACAGUGGAAAUGGGUAGAUGGAACUCCACUGACUCUGGCGAACUGGGCAACAAAUGAACCCAAUAAUGGAGGCUCACUGACCAGUGAAGAAGAUUGUGUGCAUAUAAGAGCUGAAGAUCAGAGGACUUGGAAUGAUAUUUCAUGUACAGCUUCUAUGAAAUGGAUCUGUAAAAAAAUACCAUGACACCACUGUACAGUUUCUUAGAGAGCAUGUAUUUCUACAUGCUCUGACAUUUUAACUGUGAUUCUUGUUCUAUUCUGCAUUUCAAUUUAAUGUUGUACUCUGUUCUGACUGCGUACAUUUAGGUACAAAAUUAUAUUCAUGGCAAAAAUAACCAGUGGUUGUAUGUUAUUUGUUUAGCAGACAGUAUUUAAUUCAGAGAAUCAAGCACAGUGCCUUAUUAAGAAACAUACAAAGAUUGUAAGUGCUGGUAAAAAACAAACAAACCAAAUUUAAAAAAAGAAGAAGAAGAAGAAGAAAAGAGUGCACUGUAAAAAAAAAAAAGUAACA